AAAAGUAAGCAAAAUUUAAUCAGAAAAGAGGGUAAGGUGUCUCUGAAAUCAAAACACAGAAAACCAAAGUUAAUUUACCAGUGUGUGUUAAAAAAAUAGUUGCACUCAAAUUAUCUCAUUUGAAUUAUUUCAGGGUUUUAACUCUCCUUAAAAUACACAGUAAAACUGUGUGUUCGGUGUGCACAUAUAUUUAGUAAUCUUUUGGUAGUGACCACUAUAGUCAAUACAGUUUAUAGUUCACUGGAUUCUUGCAUCACUAAUUGUGGGGAAAUUACUAGGAAUCCACCUUCAGUUUGCGGAUAACUCACUGAAUCCGUGUAGAAAUAUCAGGUUCUUUGGAAUUUUGGAACACUGAGCAAUUCAUUCUUUUUUUUUUUUUUUUUUUUUUUUGUCUUUUUGCCUUUUCUUGGGCCGCUCCCUGCAUACGGAGAUUCUCUGGCUAGGAAGUGAAAUGGAGUUGCAGCUACUGGCCUAAGCCACAGCCACAGUGACACCAGAUCUGAGCUGUAUCUGCAGCCUACACCACAGCUCAUGGUUAUGCUGGAUCCUUAAGCCACUGAGCAAGGCCAGGGAUUGAACCCACCCACAUCCUCAUGGAUAAUAGUCAGGUUCAUUACUAGGGAAGAUGAUGAAUCUGAUUUGGGGUGAGUCCAUAUCCAGCAGAGCCAAAAUUUCUUACAUAAGUAUACAUUGUAAUUUAAUUUUCAAUAGAAUUUGAAUUUGUUCAACACAGUAGUUCUCAGCAAAGGGAGAUCGUGCCUCUCAGAAUAUAUGGGAAUGUCUGGGGACAUUUUGGGUAACUUGGGGAGGGGCUGCUCCGCUACUGACAUCUAGUGAGUAGAGGCCGAGGAUGCUGCUAAACAGCCUAUGGUGAGCAGGAUAGUCCAGCGAAUUAUCCAGCCCCAAAGGUCAGUAGUGCUGAUGUUGAGAAACCAUGCGGUAACAAUCCAAUAGUUCAAAUUCCAAGAAUGGUAAAGCUUGGUCUAUUUCAGGUUCGACAGUGCCAUCUAGUGGCCAAAUAUAAUAUUUAUCCUAGUUCUGUGUUGAACACUGUUAAGACAACAGAUAAAAAAUAUUGAGAAAGCUAAGAUAUACAGAGAUGAAUCUCUCAUGGGAUAGCUGUCUAUAGUUGAAAUUAAUAUAUGUGACAAGGAGGUUUGGUGUCUGACUGUGGAAAAGCAAUCCUGCAGUUGGAAAGUGGUCUUUGGUUAUGAAGAGAUUUGAUAAUAGAAGCCAAUAUGGAAACAACACUUUUUACAGGAUGGAUUCUGCAUGGAAUGCAUUCUAUUUCAUAAUAGUUGCCUACACUUUUACUAUUAUUCCUGCACGCAUAAGAAAAGAAAAAAUAAUUCUGCUAAAUAACUGGUUGAAAUCUUUACGUCUUAGGGAUGUCACAUAUGGUAUUUUAUGAAAUAAAGAUUGAAAAUAAUGAAGAUGAUUUGAGUCAUGAAAAAUAUAUAAUGAAGACCACAGAAACUUCUCUUUGAUAAAGAAUAGAUUUUUGCCCCCAAAGCAGCACUCGACAUGCCUUAUCUCACCUCCCCCACUAGAUCGUAAGCUCCCUUCAGGCAGGGACUAUGUUUUAUUUGUGUAUGGACUAUAGUCUCCAGCAUGGCAUCUUAUACAGAGUAGACACACAAAUGAUUUUUUGAGUGAAUGAAUUUAUUUUUGUACCGGAAAUCCUUGCCUUGAAGUGAAGAAAGUCUCAAGCCUUUCUAAGCAAUUACUAUUUGUUCACUUAUGUAAGAUACCAGCUGAGGGUGCCUGGCUCAGAGAACACCAGAGACUUGAGCACAGAGAGUUGUUAACAGACACUCUCAUUCAUCUCCCUGGUGAAUCUGGAGCAAACUGUGCUGUGAUGACCAUUCCUGGGGUAAAUUUUUGACUGGUGCAUGCAUUGUAGAUUCUCUGAUAUAAGAUUUAUUCACCCAGCAAAUAUUUAUUGAAUGUCUGCUUUGUGCAAAGCACUCUUCCAGGUAUUGGGAUAUCACAGUGAACGAAAGUCUAAAAAUUCCUUAAGCGGAGAGGCAGGUUUUUAAUUGCUGGGUUAGAAUAAAGAUGCACAUUCCCUGUUCCUCCCAUUUUCUCAGUUAGCAUAAUAUUUUCUGUAUAUAAAAUGCAAUUUGACUAAUGAUCUCAAAGCAGUUCACAACUAUGAAAGACCUCUCCUUCUACAACCACUGCUUUGCUCGGGCAAAUGGAAAAAAAAACAACAAACACACAACAACACGCUCCCAUCACUUCUCUCCUUGUUUGCAUCUCUUCAUUCCUCACUGCUUCAUAUACUUGCAGACUUUUGGGGAUGAGGGAGAAACAGGAGAGUCAAUAUUCUGUGAGCAGUUGAUGUCGAUGACUAUUUUGCAAGUGGCAACUGAAGCUAGUAAUUUUAAAAGUGACCCUGCAGAAGAUUUCUUUCUGGUUGGUUUAUUACAACCCUUUAGUUCUAGCAUCUAGGGAUAUACAAAGUCAGAAAAAAAAAAAAAAAA
rnacentral:lncRNA from 1 species